rnacentral:rRNA from 1 species
CCUACGGGAUGCAGCAGUGGGGAAUAUUGCUCAAUGGGGGAAACUCUGAUGCAGCGACGCCGCGUGAGUGAAGAAGUAUUUCGGUACGUAAAGCUCUAUCAGAAGGGAAGAAAAUGACUGUACCUGACCAAGACGCCCCGUCUAACUACGUGCCAGCAUCCGCGGUAAUACGUAGGGGGCCAGCGUUGUCCGGAUUUACUGGGUGUAAAGGCAGCGUAGACGGCAGCGCAAGGCUGGAGGGAAAGGCCGGGGCCCAACCCAGAAACUGCUUUGGAAAGUGUGCAGCUGGAGUGCAGGAGAGGAAAGCGGAAUUCCUAGUGUAGCGGUGAAAGGCGUAGAUAUUAGGAGGAACACCAGUGGCGAAGGCGGCUUACUGGACUGUAACUGACGUUGAGGCUCGAAAGCGUGGGGAGCAAACAGGAUUAGAUACCCGAGUAGUC